CGUACCUUGACGACGUGCGAACAACGUUGAAAGGCUUCUCUACCAGACGACAACGACACUACCUCAUUCGAGCAUCAUCGGAACCUCCUCCGAAUUCAACGCGAUCGACGACGAAUCGACAGAUAAUUCAACUUAACAUCCGCGAGGGUUCGAACGACUUGCGUCCGAUUCAAAGUAAAAGUGAAGUCGAAACCGAAAAUCCAAUUCGCAACCUGAAACGGAAGAGAAGCUGAAUGAAAGAAUAGCUACCUUAUAACUUCGACGUGGUGGCUAAGGUGACGCUUUGGAUGAAAAAUGACGAUGAUGCUCCGAUUCGAAAUGACGAUGAUGCUCCAAUUCGAAAUGUCGAUGUAAGGUUGACGACUUUUUAUGUGGACCUCAUUCAGAGCAGAUGGUGGAAGCUGGUGGUUAUUGGGAGAAGUUGGAGGAUUCCGCGGUGGGUUGCAGGGUGGAGGUGAAGGGAAGUUUGAAAAUUGCAGGAUUUGUUGAUUAUGGAAGUUGGCGGAUGGAAAAGUGGAGUCCUGUUUUGGAGUUUUUUUGGUCGAAUGGUUGUUGAUGAACGAAAGAUGGAGAAGGUAGCAGGUUGAAGGAUUUAAGAGUGUGGUGGAAGGUUGAUGGUGGUUUUUUGAAGAAUGGUGAUGGUUGAAGAAGAGAAGAAGGAUGGUUGAAGAAUUUGUGAAUUGUUAAAUUAUGGGAAAGAUGGUGGAGUGUGAAGAAGGUUUUGAAAAAUGAGGAGAGAAACCUUCUGAAUCAGAAUGGUGAGUAAAUAUAGACUUCUCCCACUCCAAAUUUUGUUAGAAUUUAUUUUUGACAGUUAGUAUUCUGUUGAAAAAAAUCGGUUAUUUGGUUAAGUGGUCAUUCUUUCGUUAGAGUUAGUUGGAGGUUGUUAUAACAGUUCAGAUUUGGUUUUGGAAUUCAGUUACGGUUGUUUGGUUUUGUUAGAGAAAAGGGAAAGGGUGGUUAGAAGAUUAUUAUGGAAGAAGUCUUAUUGCGAUGAGUUGGUUCUAUUAGAAGGAAGUUCAUCCUUGGUGAAGAAUCUUGAAGUCCUUUUUAUCCAGGAAAUUCUGUUUUGAGGAGAGUUUUAUCCUAUUAUGAAGGUGGUUUUAAUUUGGUUCUGAAUUGAAGUUUGUUGAAGCUUUUUGUAGCAAUGUCACUUUCCAAACCUUGAAGCUAAGUUGAUAUUGCUCUUAAACUACUCAAGUGUAAUAAUAUCCUACUCUGUUUACACUAAUUUACCCCAUUAUUCACAACUUAUUUGUUGCAGGUUCUUCAUUUUGUCGAAGGGUUACAAUUAUGUGAGGUUCGGUUCCUGCGCGGCUUAGCAGGUGCUUCUUGUUUGGAUGGCGUGUAGCAGUUGCAUUUUGGAAGCUUUGAUUGCGUUUUGUCGCUUAUAGCUUUGGAUUCGUACGCCGUUCAUCUUAGCAGCUGGUGUGAAGUUGCUAUUCAGUUGCACUGUGUUUCCAGAUAUCUCUAGAGCAGCUUUCACUUCUUCAUAUUACUGCGUUGCCAUUGGCUUCGCUAUUUUCUCUUCUUUUGGCUAGUGCACAUGUGUUUGGUGACUGCAAUAACUUGUUUGUACUGUCUUUCCCUUUUGCUGCAUUUCAAUUAUUGUUUUAUUAUUUGGAUAUUAAAAGAUGAAUUUGAAUAACAUGCUUUGGAUAAUGAAAUAUGCCAUGGAUGAAGAAAAGAAAAAGGUUUAUUAAUUGGAAAAUGAAUUUAGAUGAAAUGAAAUGAAUGAAAAUGGUUUAUGUGGAUUAAA